AUUGAACGCUGGCGGCAUGCCUUACACAUGCAAGCCGAACGGCAGCACGGGGGCAACCCUGGUGGCGAGUGGCGAACGGGUGAGUAACAUAUCGGAACAUACCCUAGAGUGGGGGAUAACGUAGCGAAAGUUACGCUAAUACCGCAUACGAUCUAAGGAUGAAAGUGGGGGAUCUUCGGACCUCAUGCUCAUGGAGUGGCCGAUAUCUGAUUAGCUAGUUGGUGAGGUAAAGGCUCACCAAGGCGACGAUCAGUAGCUGGUUUGAGAGAACGACCAGCCACACUGGAACUGAGACACGGUCCAGACUCCUACGGGAGGCAGCAGUGGGGAAUUUUGGACAAUGGGGGCAACCCUGAUCCAGCAAUGCCGCGUGAGUGAAGAAGGCCU
rnacentral:rRNA from 1 species